rnacentral:rRNA from 1 species
GGCGAGUGGCGAACGGGUGAGUAAUACAUCGGAACGUGUCCUGNGAGUGGGGGAUAGCCCGGCGAAAGCCGGAUUAAUACCGCAUACGAUCUCUGGAUGAAAGCGGGGGACCGAAAGGCCUCGCGCUCAAGGGGCGGCCGAUGGCAGAUUAGCUAGUUGGUGGGGUAAAGGCCUACCAAGGCGACGAUCUGUAGCUGGUCUGAGAGGACGACCAGCCACACUGGGACUGAGACACGGCCCAGACUCCUACGGGAGGCAGCAGUGGGGAAUUUUGGACAAUGGGGGCAACCCUGAUCCAGCAAUGCCGCGUGUGUGAAGAAGGCCUUCGGGUUGUAAAGCACUUUUGUCCGGAAAGAAAACCGCUUCUCUAAUACAGAGGUGGGAUGACGGUACCGGAAGAAUAAGCACCGGCUAACUACGUGCCAGCAGCCGCGGUAAUACGUAGGGUGCGAGCGUUAAUCGGAAUUACUGGGCGUAAAGCGUGCGCAGGCGGUUCGCUAAGACCGAUGUGAAAUCCCCGGGCUUAACCUGGGAACUGCAU